AAGAGGAGAUACAGGGAGGAGGAGAAGGAGAGGCAGAUAAAGGAAGGGGGGAGAAAGAGAAGGAGGGUUAGACAUUCAGAAAGACUUCAGUUAACCUCAGGAAACGGAGGAGAGGAGACGGACGCCGCUUCUCUCUCGUGACCUAAAGGAACUAACCGAAAUCUACAUAAGUUAUCCAUUGAAACAGAACAAUUUACUUAUAAAGCAUCCAUACUUCGUUUUCUAAGUGCAAAGAGUGGCGGAAAAGUGGUGCAAGAUGCGUAUAAGUAAGAAUAUCCCAGUUUACUUAUAAAAUAUUGGUGAUAAGUGGUGUUUUGAAGUAAACAGAAGUAAUAAAGUGUGUGAUAUAUCCGUCCGCAGUGUAUUGAGCGCGUCCUGGGUGAGGCAGGUUGUUCGAAUGCGCCUUGGAUAGCUGCGGGAGUCACGUGACCAGGGGGACGAGGGUAGUGUGGCCUCGGCCGUGAUGGGGUGUGGGCGGCGCUGCGGCUGCUGGGCGCUGAGUGAACUGGAACUGGAGAGAGCCAGGCACCAGAACACGCUGGAGGAGAACGCCCGCUACCAGAGACACGUGCAGGACCUGCGUGAUGAGCUGUCUACUCUACACUCGACUGUCGCGGAUCUUGAGAGGCGGUACUCGGACCUCUCAGCCAGAUACCGCACCACUGUGGCUAACUUGGACGAUGUCAACGACACGACCCUGAGACUGAAGGACCACUCGUCUGAGCUGUCCGAGGAGAACAGGCGGCUGCGGUUGACCUCGGAGAAGCUGGAGGAGGAGGUGGGUCGGGUCGGCUCAGCUCAGGCUAGGCUAAAGACCCGGUCACUGAGGGGGCAGCUGGAGGAGGCAAGGGAACACGCAGAGGAGGAGCAUCGGCGAAGGGUGUCCAGCGAGAUGACACUCUCCCGUGACCUGACCACAACAGAAAAGCACUACGCCAGCAAGCUCCGGCGUGCCCACUCCCUCCACGACCUGGACCGCCAGCACCUGGAGCAUGACAUCGACCGGCUGCAGCACGCCCUGACUCGACAGAAGCAGCACCACCGGGACACCAUCAGGGACAUGUACUGCCACCACGGCCGACUACACCGCCACCACUACUGCCUGGCCCACAGGACAUGCUGGAGGUGACCUUCAUGCCAAGGACCGGAGGUUCUGGGGGACAUCCAGAUACUGUGUGGCACUGCUUGUCACCUCACCUGUGGAAGCAAGACAACCAGAAGAACUACUGCUGCUGCCAUCAACAUCUUGAAGAGACCACCACCAGCUUUGCACCAAACACUAAACACUAAUAGGAUCAAAAACGGUGUGUGUAAGACUUGUUGGCUAGCUGUGAUGCUGGUAGUAAAUAAGCAGCGUGUGUUUGAAGAGUCGAAGGCUCUGGUCCCACUUAUAUUUUCAAUGUUUUUUUUUUUUUAAUUGGUUUAAAUGUUCUGGUGUAACACCCACUUUAUAAUUUGUUUCUGUUGUAUAAUGCUACAUUUUAUCAAUAAAUUAAUAUAAAUAUCAA